ACCUCUGCUCCCCGACCUGCUGGCUGUGCGACUUUGGGUCAGAUGUCAGGCCUCUCAAAGAUGCAGGUCACACAGGUCUCUCCCGGGAUGCAACCGCAUGGCACUCAGAGUGGCCACUAGAUCCUUGUCUCUACCCCACCCCUCUUGGCCCCCGAAACACCCCCAGAAAACAGUCCCCUCCUUUUUUCUCUUCUCUUACUUUCUUCCAGGUCUCAAACCACCCCCUCCAGUUAGGAGGGUAGGUCUACGUGACUGCACUAUGGACCCACUGGCCUGGGUCUUGCCAUCUGUGAAGUGGGCACAACAGAAGACAUCUUGAAGGGAAGCGGCCCUCCCAGCUGGAAAAUUCACCGUGCACUUACAGCACGCCACCCACGACUCCAAGCACUCACUCCAAAGGCGUCUGUCUGCUCCUCACCACGACCCCAUGCGGCCACUGUGCUGUUACCAUCCAUUUCUCAGAGGCAAAAGUGGAGGCUCAGAGAGGCCAGUCAGCAGCUCCAGGAGGCCAGGACGGCUCUUCAGACUCAGCAAACACGAAGCCAAACAAAAUGCAAUGCAAAAGGUGGCAGUUUC